AGCGCAGACGGUUGAUUAAGUCUGAUGUGAAAGCCCGGAGCUCAACUCCGGAAUGGCAUUGGAAACUGGUUAACUUGAGUGUUGUAGAGGUAAGUGGAACUCCAUGUGUAGCGGUGGAAUGCGUAGAUAUAUGGAAGAACACCAGUGGCGAAGGCGGCUUACUGGACAACAACUGACGUUGAGGCUCGAAAGUGUGGGUAGCAAACA
rnacentral:rRNA from 1 species